rnacentral:rRNA from 1 species
UACGGAGGGGGCUAGCGUUGUCCGAAGUUACUGGGCGUAAAGCGCGCGUAGGCGGGUUGGUAAGUCCGCUGUGAAAGCCCGGAGCUCAACUCCGGAGGGUCGGUGGAUACUGCCAGUCUUGAAGGUGCUAGGGGGAGAUGGAAUUGACCGGUGUAGCGGUGAAAUGCGUAGAUAUCGGGAGGAACACCAGUGGCGAAGGCGACUACCUGGCCUGUUCUUGACGCUGAGGCGCGAAAGCUAGGGGAGCAAACGGG